GGGGCUGUAAGGGUUUUGACGGGGAGUUGUGGUUGUGCAAGCUGCGAGCCGAGGGUGCGAUUUGCCUCGUUAAACACGGUCGCCAACGUCCUAAAUGCAGACGUAAAACAAGCUAUGGAAGGCGUUCAGUGGGCUUACCUAAACAGUAAUGUCCUGCAGGGCGCUUUCGCCCGCGCUUAAUAAUAUAAGCGCGCCGUCCCCCGAGUUCGCCGAAGAGCUCGGGUAAGACGUAAUAAUUUCGGAUACCUGACCGGUUUCUCCGGUUGGCCGGUCGGGGAAAAUUUAGAUCGGAUAGCUUAGGGUAUUCCUCGUUCCGGGUCAAACCUUAAGCGAAAUAAAUAGCAGGAACUACGCUCGUAGCGGCUUUCGCAAUUGCCUUUCCGGACGCGGGUUCGACUCCCGCCAGCUCCAUCC
rnacentral:tmRNA from 1 species